rnacentral:rRNA from 1 species
UGGGGAAUAUUGCACAAUGGGCGCAAGCCUGAUGCAGCAACGCCGCGUGAGGGAUGACGGCCUUCGGGUUGUAAACCUCUUUUAGCAGGGAAGAAGCGAAAGUGACGGUACCUGCAGAAAAAGCACCGGCUAACUACGUGCCAGCAGCCGCGGUAAUACGUAGGGUGCAAGCGUUGUCCGGAAUUAUUGGGCGUAAAGAGCUCGUAGGCGGUCUGUCGCGUCUGCUGUGAAAUCCCGAGGCUCAACCUCGGGCCUGCAGUGGGUACGGGCAGACUAGAGUGCGGUAGGGGAGAAUGGAACUCCUGGUGUAGCGGUGGAAUGCGCAGAUAUCAGGAAGAACACCGAUGGCGAAGGCAGUUCUCUGGGCCGUAACUGACGCUGAGGAGCGAAAGCGUGGGGAGCGAACAGGAUUAGAUACCCUGGUAGUCCACGCCGUAAAACGUUGGGCGCUAGAUGUGGGGACCAUUCCACGGUUUCCGUGUCGCAGCUAACGCAUUAAGCGCCCCGCCUGGGGAGUACGGCCGCAAGGCUAAAACUU